rnacentral:rRNA from 1 species
CGUUCGGAAUCGAUAACCGCUGAAAGCAUCUAAGCGGGAAGCGAGCCCCAAGAUGAGUCAUCCCUUGGACUAUAAGUCCACUAAAGAGCCGUUCGAGACUAGGACGUUGAUAGGUCAGGUGUGUAAGCGUUGUGAGGCGUUGAGCUAACUGAUACUAAUGACUCGAGAGGCUUAACCAU